rnacentral:rRNA from 1 species
GACGAACGCUGGCGGCGUGCUUAACACAUGCAAGUCGAACGGAAAGGCCCUGCUUUUGUGGGGUGCUCGAGUGGCGAACGGGUGAGUAACACGUGAGUAACCUGCCCUUGACUUUGGGAUAACUUCAGGAAACUGGGGCUAAUACCGGAUAGGAGCUCCUGCUGCAUGGUGGGGGUUGGAAAGUUUCGGCGGUUGGGGCUGGACUCGCGGCUUAUCAGCUUGUUGGUGGGGUAGUGGCUUACCAAGGCUUUGACGGGUAGCCGGCCUGAGAGGGUGGACGGCCACAUUGGGACUGAGAUACGGCGCAGACUCCUACGGGAGGCAGCAGUGGGGAAUAUUGCACAAUGGGCGGAAGCCUGAUGCAGCAACGCCGCGUGCGGGAUGACGGCCUUCGGGUUGUAAACCGCUGUCGCCUGUGACGAAGCGUGAGUGACGGUAAUGGGUAAAGAAGCACCGGCUAACUACGUG